rnacentral:lncRNA from 1 species
UGUUGUUUCUCUAGCAAUAUAUUUUUGGAUUUCUCUGUAUAUUUAAAAUUAAUCAAUCAUCCAUCAGGUCAACAAUGUUUCCGCGUAUCUCCCACGCAUUCGAAUAUCAACAAAUUUUCAAACAUUAGUUUUUGGAAAUUUCGAAUAACUACCCAAAAAUAUUUCGAAUAUUCGAGAAUUUAAUGAAUUUCAGAACUAGCGGCUGCUCGAGAAUCGGACGAAGUACAAAUUUGGCGGUCGCUUGGUACGCGUCGUAAUAUCGUGAGCAAGCAGAAUUCAGUGCCCGUACAGCGUUGACUGAGGAUAUUCGAUGUAAGUGCCCGUAUUGGCAAGGAACGCGACUCAAGCGACAUCUGAUGUUUACAUUGAAUCAUGCUCGAAAGUCGCAAGAUAUGCGUAAAAAAUAACAAGCUGCUAUAAAAAAAUUUAUUUAAGGUUAUAUAAAAAUAUGUAUAUACUUUACGGUCCGGGCAGUUUUCAGGACUUAUACAUAUAAGUGUAUAUAUAUAUAUUUUUUUUAAUGUAUUUAUAUUUACAAAAUACUUAUUACUUGUAGAGUGAAACACACACUAGUUGAGUGAGGAUGCUACAGAAAUAGGUUAUACAUUACUUACUUUAUUCUCUUAAUUGCGUUUAUCCACUUUUUUCUUUGCUCUACUUUCCAACUAGCUCUUGGAAAUGUGUAAAAUUUACACUGACUAUUUCUGCCUGUAUUUUCACAAUUAACAACUCAACUACUAUUAUGAUCAACAAUGGCUGGCAAAGGAAUAUUAUGUCCACAAACAAAUAAAUUAUUGGAAGAAACCAUCGAUGGUGCUUCACUUAUUUAUGAUUCAGUUGAAGCUCAUAAUUGUGAACAAUUGAGGUGGAUAAAAUGUCAUGGACGUCCGCAAAAGGGGAAAAAAAGUGAGCUGAUUGAGAGGAUCAGAUCCAUUUGCUUCUUCCAUGUCAACUCUUUCAUAUUUUUCAAAUAAGCUGGUUCUUUCUUUAAUUAGCUAUAAACAGGUUUGAGCUUAAGGGAUCAGGAUUUUGUUCAGUUGGACCACUUUCUCCAAGAAAAUGUAUAGUGAGCAAAUAUAAGUAUCC